GUGGAGCUCCUUGAAGUCCAAUUGAGGAUAUUGCUGUGCUGAUUGAGCUGCUGAGCUAUGGAUCCCACAGUUCUACCCAUCAUGAUCUUUUUUGUGGUAGACCUGCGGCUUGCAUAUCUCGGGAGCUUCAUUACCUAUAGUUUUAUCCUUCUUUGGAUUGAAGGGAGCUCAAC
rnacentral:pre_miRNA from 1 species